rnacentral:lncRNA from 1 species
AAAGGAGAGAUUUCGGUGCGUCUGAAAUCGAAAAGGCCACUUUCCUGCUGAUACAUCAGCUUCUGUUGCAUCGACAAGAGAAAAAACAUGAAUAUAGAACUAUUACUUCAUGUGCUAUGCGUUUAGCGAUAUCAGAUGUUCGUGAAUAUCGAAUAACGGGCCUCCUUUUAAGAGCCAAAAAGAUGGCUGCAAUUCCAUCUACGAUUCGAUCACAGUAAGUUUGUAGCUUUGGAGGGUCUACGACAGCAGGGAGCAUAUACAUAUGAUUUGAUGGUGUGUUCAAAGUGAAAUGGUAGGGGUCAAGUGCAACAAAAUCAGCAAAAAACUCCUGCACUUGUUGAACAACUUCAUGUUCAUCUGAAUCCGCUAAGAUAUGGAGCUGAGUAGUAUUCAACAUAUUU